rnacentral:lncRNA from 1 species
GGGACUUAAGAAGCAAGGCGCGGAACGCCACGCAACUGCGCCGCCAACGCGCCAGGCUUUUUUACUUGAUUUUUUUUAGUUUCUCAUCUAUUUUUCCUCUUUUCUCUGCAUUUUUAAGUACCUUCUCGUACCAUCGGUACGUAAUAAAAAUAUUUAUGCUCCUAUACUAAGAGUCCUUUUCCUUUUACUUAUCUUGUUGCGAUCGCAUCACACUCAGAACUGAGAGAUCGAUCCCAAAACUUGUCAUUGGACGCACUCGACACUCGAGGGCUGCGUCCAAUCGACCGCAAAACUUGUCACUGGACGCACCCGACACUUGGGGGCUUCGUCCAAUCGACCCAAAACUUGUCAU